GCCGGGUGCGGUGGUGCACGCCUGUAGUCCCAGCAACUCGGGAGGUGGAGGCAGGAGGGUCGCAAGUUCAAAGCCAGCCUCAGCAACUUAGCAAGUCCCUGUCUCAG
rnacentral:sRNA from 1 species